rnacentral:rRNA from 1 species
AUCUUCUGCAAUGGACGAAAGUCUGACCGAGCAACGCCGCGUGUGUGAUGAAGGUUUUCGGUUCGUAUAGCUCUCUUGCCAGCGAAGAACGCUUGGUAGAGUAACUGCUCUCAAGGUUCUGGGACCUGUCAAGAAAGACCCGGCUAACUACGCUCAAGCAGCCGCGGUAAUACGUAGGGGGCAAGCGUUGUCCGGAAUUAUUGGGCGUAAAGCGCGCGCAGGCGGCUAUUUAAGUCUGGUGUUUAAUACAUGGGCUCAACCUAUGUUCGCAUCGGAAACUGGGUAGCUUGAGUGUAGGAGAGGAAAGUGGAAUUCCACGUGUAGCGGUGAAAUGCGUAGAGAUGUGGAGGAACACCAGUGGCGAAGGCGACUACCUGGACUGAUACUGACACUGAGGUGCGAAAGCGUGGGGAGCAAACA